UACCCAAUCGUGACACACGGAGGUAGUGACAAUAAAUAUCAAUGCGGAACUCUUUGAGUUUUGCAAUUGGAAUGAGAACAAUUUAAAUCCCUUAACGAGGAUCAAUUGGAGGGCAAGUCUGGUGCAAGCAGCCGCGGUAAUUCCAGCUCCAAUAGCGUAUAUUAAUGUUGUUGCAGUUAAAAAGCUCGUAGUUGAAUUUCUGGAAUGAACUUUCGGUCCGAGGCCUUGUGUCUUGCGUACUGUUUCUGUUCAUCCCAUCUUAGUAGUGAGUGUUACUGGCAUUCGGUUGUCGGUUGCAGGAGCUGCUUCGUUUACUGUGAAUAAAAUAGAGUGUUUAAAGCAAGCAUUACGCCUUGAAUACUUCAGCAUGGAAUAAAAUUAUAGGACUUAGGUGCUAUUUUAUUGGUUUGCACACCUAGUAAUGAUUAAUAGGGAUAGUUGGGGGUAUUCAUAUUUGAUUGUCAGAGGUGAAAUUCUUGGAUUUAUGAAAGAUGAACUUAUGCGAAAGCAUUUACCAAGGAUGUUUUCAUUAAUCAAGAACGAAAGUUAGGGGAUCGAAGAGGAUUAGAUACCCUCGUAGUCUUAACCAUAAACUAUGCCGACUCGGGAUCAGUGGGGUUUGUUUUACGUCUCCAUUGGCACCGUAUGAGAAAUCAAAGUCUUUGGGUUCCGGGGGGAGUAUGGUCGCAAGGCUGAAACUUAAAGGAAUUGACGGAAGGGCACCACCAGGAGUGGAGCCUGCGGCUUAAUUUGACUCAACACGGGGAAACUUACCAGGUCCGGACAUAGUAAGGAUUGACAGAUUGACAGCUCUUUCUUGAUUCUAUGGGUGGUGGUGCAU
rnacentral:rRNA from 1 species